rnacentral:rRNA from 1 species
UACGUAGGGUGCAAGCGUUGUCCGGAAUUAUUGGGCGUAGAGAGCUCGUAGGCGGUCUGUCGCGUCUGCUGUGAAAACUCAGGGCUUAACCCUGAGCUUGCAGUGGGUACGGGCAGACUAGAGUGCGGUAGGGGAGACUGGAAUUCCUGGUGUAGCGGUGAAAUGCGCAGAUAUCAGGAGGAACACCGGUGGCGAAGGCGGGUCUCUGGGCCGUAACUGACGCUGGAGGAGCGAAAAGCAUGGGGAGCGAACAGG